rnacentral:misc_RNA from 1 species
GAAAUGCGAUAAGUAAUGUGAAUUCAGAAUUCAGUGAAUCAUCGAAUCUUUGAACGCACAUUGCGCCCGCCAGUAUUCUGGCGGGCAUGCCUGUUCGAGCGUCAUUACAACCCUCAGGCCCCCGGGCCUGGCGUUGGGGAUCGGCGGAAGCCCCCUGCGGGCACAACGCCGUCCCCCAAAUACAGUGGCGGUCCCGCCGCAGCUUCCAUUGCGUAGUAGCUAACACCUCGCAACUGGAGAGCGGCGCGGCCACGCCGUAAAACACCCAACUUCUGAAUGUUGACCUCGAAUCAGGUAGGAAUACCCGCUGAACUUAAGC